GGAGGAUUGGCCGAAUGGCUAAGGCACCGCUCUUGAAAAGCGGCGGGCGCAAGCCCUUGUAGGUUCGAGUCCUACAUCCUCCGCCA
rnacentral:tRNA from 2 species